rnacentral:rRNA from 1 species
UACGUAGGUGGCGAGCGUUGUCCGGAUUUACUGGGCGUAAAGCGCCCGCAGGCGGCCUAUCAAGUUCGAGGUGAAAUCUCCCGGCUUAACUGGGAGGGUGCCUCGAAAACUGGCAGGCUUGAGGCAGGGAGAGGGAUGCAGAAUUUCCGGUGUAGCGGUGAAAUGCGUAGAUAUCGGGAGGAAUACCAGUGGCGAAGGCGGCAUCCUGGCCCGGUACUGACGCUGAGGGGCGAAAGCGUGGGGAGCAAACCGG